GGCGGCGUGCUUAACACAUGCAAGUCGAGCGGAAAGGCCCUUCGGGGUACUCGAGCGGCGAACGGGUGAGUAACACGUGAGCAACCUGCCCUAGGCUUUGGGAUAACCCUCGGAAACGGGGGCUAAUACCGGAUACAACCUUUGGUCGCAUGACUGGGGGUGGAAAGUUUUUCGGCCUGGGAUGGGCUCGCGGCCUAUCAGCUUGUUGGUGGGGUGAUGGCCUACCAAGGCGACGACGGGUAGCCGGCCUGAGAGGGCGACCGGCCACACUGGGACUGAGGCACGGCCCAGACUCCUACGGGAGGCAGCAGUGGGGAAUAUUGCACAAUGGGCGGAAGCCUGAUGCAGCGACGCCGCGUGAGGGAUGACGGCCUUCGGGUUGUAAACCUCUUUCAGCAGGGACGAAGCGCAAGUGACGGUACCUGCAGAAGAAGCGCCGGCCAACUACGUGCCAGCAGCCGCGGUAAGACGUAGGGUGCGAGCGUUGUCCGGAUUUAUUGGGCGUAAAGAGCUCGUAGGCGGCUUGUCGCGUCGACCGUGAAAACUUGGGGCUCAACCCCAAGGCUGCGGUCGAUACGGGCAGGCUAGAGUUCGGUAGGGGAGACUGGAAUUCCUGGUGUAGCGGUGAAAUGCGCAGAUAUCAGGAGGAACACCGGUGGCGAAGGCGGGUCUCUGGGCCGAUACUGACGCUGAGGAGCGAAAGCGUGGGGAGCGAACAGGAUUAGAUACCCUGGUAGUCCACGCUGUAAACGUUGGGCGCUAGGUGUGGGGGGCCUCUCCGGUUCUCUGUGCCGCAGCUAACGCAUUAAGCGCCCCGCCUGGGGAGUACGGCCGC
rnacentral:rRNA from 1 species